UGGAGAGUUUGAUCCUGGCUCAGAUUGAACGCUGGCGGCAGGCCUAACACAUGCAAGUCGAACGGUAGCACAGAGAGCUUGCUCUCGGGUGACGAGUGGCGGACGGGUGAGUAAUGUCUGGGAAACUGCCUGAUGGAGGGGGAUAACUACUGGAAACGGUAGCUAAUACCGCAUAACGUCGCAAGACCAAAGAGGGGGACCUUCGGGCCUCUUGCCAUCAGAUGUGCCCAGAUGGGAUUAGCUAGUAGGUGGGGUAACGGCUCACCUAGGCGACGAUCCCUAGCUGGUCUGAGAGGAUGACCAGCCACACUGGAACUGAGACACGGUCCAGACUCCUACGGGAGGCAGCAGUGGGGAAUAUUGCACAAUGGGCGCAAGCCUGAUGCAGCCAUGCCGCGUGUAUGAAGAAGGCCUUCGGGUUGUAAAGUACUUUCAGCGGGGAGGAAGGCGRURAGGUUAAUAACCUYRUCGAUUGACGUUACCCGCAGAAGAAGCACCGGCUAACUCCGUGCCAGCAGCCGCGGUA
rnacentral:rRNA from 1 species